UACGUAGGGUGCAAGCGUUAAUCGGAAUUACUGGGCGUAAAGCGUGCGCAGGCGGUGAUGUAAGACAGUUGUGAAAUCCCCGGGCUCAACCUGGGGAACUGCAUCUGUGACUGCAUCGCUGGAGUGCGGCAGAGGGGGAUGGAAUCCGCGUGUAGCAGUGAAAUGCGUAGAUAUGCGGAGGAACACCCGAUGGCGAAGGCAAUCCCCUGGGCCUGCACUGACGCUCAUGCACGAAAGC
rnacentral:rRNA from 1 species